UACGUAGGGUGCAAGCGUUGUCCGGAAUUAUUGGGCGUAAAGAGCUUGUAGGCGGUUUGUCGCGUCUGCUGUGAAAUUUCGGGGCUCAACCCCGAACUUGCAGUGGGUACGGGCAGACUAGAGUGUGGUAGGGGAGACUGGAAUUCCUGGUGUAGCGGUGAAAUGCGCAGAUAUCAGGAGGAACACCUAUGGCGAAGGCAGCUCGCUGGGACGGUACUGACGCUGAGACGCGAAAGCGUGGGGAGCGAACAGG
rnacentral:rRNA from 1 species